rnacentral:rRNA from 1 species
UGGGGAAUAUUGCACAAUGGGCGAAAGCCUGAUGCAGCGACGCCGCGUGAGGGAUGACGGCCUUCGGGUUGUAAACCUCUUUCAGCAGGGAAGAAGCGGAAGUGACGGUACCUGCAGAAGAAGCACCGGCUAACUACGUGCCAGCAGCCGCGGUAAUACGUAGGGUGCGAGCGUUGUCCGGAAUUAUUGGGCGUAAAGAGCUUGUAGGCGGUUUGUCGCGUCUGCUGUGAAAAUCCGGGGCUCAACUCCGGACUUGCAGUGGGUACGGGCAGGCUAGAGUGUGGUAGGGGAGACUGGAAUUCCUGGUGUAGCGGUGGAAUGCGCAGAUAUCAGGAGGAACACCGAUGGCGAAGGCAGGUCUCUGGGCCACUACUGACGCUGAGAAGCGAAAGCAUGGGGAGCGAACAGG